AAAGUACUCUCUCCGUUUCAAAUUACUCGUCGCAGAAAUUGAUGUAUCUAGAACUAAAAUGUAUCUAGAUACAUCCAUAUUUGCGACAAGUAAUUUGGAACGGAGGGAGUAAAAA
rnacentral:pre_miRNA from 1 species